UAAAGCCAAAGAAACUCCAGCCAUCCUGGUC
rnacentral:piRNA from 1 species